rnacentral:lncRNA from 1 species
GGAUUCUGGGAAAUGUAGUAAAGAAGAGAGUCACCAUGUGAUCCCAGGGAAGAGAGGAUGCAUGCUGCUGGUGUCCUUGAUAAGGUCUGAGAGGAAACAGAAGAGUGAGUGGUGAAGGAAAUGACAUCAUGGCUAUUGGAGGAUAGUCUACAAGCACUAGCAGUCCCUCCCAACAAUCUCUAAACACUUGUCCUUGUGCCCAGAAAUAAGUGUAGUCUUCACUGCUCACCAGCGAAACUUCUCUUGGUAACAGAUAGAGACCAUUACAGAAAACCACAACCAAUAAAAUGCAGAGUUUUGGAGCCCAGUCCCUGCGGAUACAUCUACAAAACACUUUACACCUAAGGUUUAGGGCACAUUGCAGAAGAGGAGGCAGAAAUAUUGUAAGAGUCAGAGGAUCAGGGAGUUUGCUGUGAGACUGUGUCUCCUAGUAACAUCAGAAGCUACACCCAUAGUCUCACCAACAUGACUGACCAAAUGUGGACUGAACGACGACAAUAGACAUGCCUAAGCGGAUGGAGAAAAUCCCAAGAGGCCUCAACCCUACCAAAAGAACCAGAGGCAACUGAAGAAAGCUGUAAGUGGGCAAGACGAUCUGCCUCAGAGAAGAGGAUAUAACUGGUUGUCUAGUGCCAAAUGGUCAGCCCUGAACACACACAUGCAAGAAACCUUCGCAGACUGAACAGGUGCCCUAACAACACUGAAACAAACCCAACAAUUAUUUGCAGUGGCCAAGGAAAUAAACAUACAACCUUGAGGCUUUGAACUUCAACUUCCACACCAAUACAAGCUACAAAUCAUGAGUGAGGACCAAAUGAUGUUGUCAGUUACGUGGGAACCAGGGGUCAUUCUUCCGUGAAUUCAGAGUCAGCACUGAAGGAAGAUGGCUUGACAACCAAGACCAACGGAAAGCCACAUGGCAGUGAGACAGCCUCUCUGGAAAGCCAGCAUCUGCCGUGGAGCAGUUGGUUCCACAUAAACAGGAAAUUUGAAGCCCCAAAUAUUUUGAUUCAGCCUUGUUUAAAAUUAUUGGUGAGACUGUAUGUUAAGAGGCUAAACAGUAUGAAGCUAGAUGCAUGUGGGCAGAAAAUAAUUGUUGAUACAACCUUUUGUUUGAAAAACGGAGAAGUUGAAAAUUUUACCUAGAGAAAUGAAAGAUUGAGCCAGGAAGGUGGAGUCUACUUAACUUAGACUUAGUUUGUCACCAGGAAAAUUGAGUUUUAUCUAGUCACUUUACCAAAAACGUUCCCAGUGAAUAGCAAAUAAUCAUCUCCAAGGAACUCUGAUCUGUGACCUGUGACCUAUGAUCUAGGCCUAUUUAGGUUUAUGUUAGAAACUGGA